AACGGUCUAUACCUGCGGUACCUGCGGAGGGAUCAUUACCGAGUGAGGGCCCUCUGGGUCCAACCUCCCACCCGUGUUUAUCGUACCUUGUUGCUUCGGCGGGCCCGCCGCAAGGCCGCCGGGGGGCUUCCGCCCCCGGGCCCGCGCCCGCCGAAGACACCUGUGAACGCUGUAUGAAGAUUGCAGUCUGAGCGAAAAGCUAAAUUUAUUAAAACUUUCAACAACGGAUCUCUAGAUCGG
rnacentral:misc_RNA from 1 species